CCCUCGCGCCCGACAGAGUCGCUGUAAUGAAUGCUCGGGAAGUUAUGGAGCGAAAGGAUACGAUCCCAGUGAUUAAUGCCAAAGCCCUGUUGCCUGGGGAGAGGGUGAUGUUUGACUUUCUUGUACAGCUGCAGUUUGUGGGGUGAAGGUGCUCCCACAAUGUGGUUGGAUCCCAGUGAUUAAUGCCAAAGCCCCAUUGCCUGGGGAGAGGGUGAUGUUUGACUUCCUUGUACAGCUGCAGUUUGUGUGGUGAAGGUGCUCCCACAAUGUGGUUGGGUGGACAUUCAGAUGGUAACCUCAGUAUUUGUAACACCAAACUCUGACAGAAUUACUCAAUUCAUCAGGACCUGGAUAUUUGCAUU